CUCCUCUCAGUGCUCAAUAGCGAACAGCCCAGGCAUCAUUGCAGACUUGACACCGGCAAAAUCGGACGGUCAGCAUCUACGUUGUGCAAUGACAAUGUAUGUGCUUUGCAAAAAAAAAAAAAAAAAAAAAAAAUGAAGGUGUGCACCGGCCACAUGAUGACUCUCACUGCCGAGGAAGGACACACUUUUUCCGCAAGCAGACGGCCGGAGGAGACACGGGGGCGAGACAUAAACGCCCAUAAGUUGCUGAAAUUAACCGUCAUUAAUGGUUAAGAGGAAAAAACAAGAAUGAGUGCCUUCAACACAGAAGCGGAAGAAUGGGAGCCCCAGAGCACAACACGAUGAAGAAAAGACAGAAGUGAUGAAAGAGAGGUAAGACAAGUUUGCCCUGGGCUCACGCAUUAUCUUGGGUCGGCGUAUGUCUUCUGGCGCCCUUCUUACAGUUUGCCCCAUUUAGCUGGGUCUGGUGUUUGCAUGUACAGCGGGACCCCUACAUACAAUGUUAAUUGGUUCCAGGACCUUGUUUGUAAGUCGAAAUGGUCGUAUGUCGAGCAGAAUUUUCUCAAUAGAAUAUAUUAUAAUUCCAUUAAUUUGUUCCACUGCCCGAAAACGUACACUAAAUCCUUAAUAAAUACUGCUGGUACUAUUGCAAAUAGCAGUAAAACAGACCUAAACAAAUAAAUUAUAAAAAUAAGAAUAAUAAAAUAAAAUAGUAAUAGUACACAACACCUGUAAUAAUAUAACGAAUUGGAUUCUAAUGUGAUGGUUGUGUUUUGCGUGGUGUACCUGAACGCACCGCGUGGCUGACAUGACGAGAAAGGUGCGGCAGAGAUUUUACUUUCUCUUUUAACGUUUUGUUGUUGGCCUCAAAUGCGGUGGACAGUAGGCAAGUUGUGUUGCACAAGUUCUGAAAUAAAUGAUUAAAAACCUGAUGAAGCUGGCGAUUUCUUUGGCGAUGUUGCAAUCAUAAUAGUUGUCACCUUAACUUAUAAAGACUGGCGAAUGGAGGCCGGAGGAGGACCGUCGAAAUCGUAGGCAUUCUACGGCCGUAUUGUCGAGACAGUUCACGGACGCACAUAACACGCUCAUAUUUUUCUAUCAUUUCCAUAUUUAUUUCAAUGGUAAGAGUCACCUUUUUCCUUUGUUCACCACCUGCACUGACAUUCUUGAAACCCAUAUCGAUUUUUCCUCACAAGAAAAUUUGCUGUGUGUCCGUCUUGCGGGAAAACAAAGAAACUGCGGUGCUGUCAUAAAUCGUCAAAUUUCGAGCAUGUCGUCGGAUGUAGAAACAAAUGGCGAGUCAAAUUUUACGUCGGGUGUCAUAAAGAUCGUGUGUCGAAGCGAUUGUGUGUCGAGGUACCACUGUAUCUGUUUUGUGUACAUGUAUCCAUCUUGCUUUCUGAUGCACCUGCUUUCUCUUCUGUCACCGUUCGCAUUUACGUACCUACCUACUCCUGUUUCAGAGACUUCAGCCUAGGGCUAAAGGAAAAUAAACACUUCCUUAUUUGAAAAUAUAAAAUAGACUUCAAAAAGUGCUAGUAAUACCGCUUUUGAUAGUUCCCACUCUGGUUGGUUGUUGGUUUAGACCAGUGCUUCUCAAUUAUUUUCUGUUACGCCCCCCCAAGGAAGACGUAAAUGUUUCGCGCCCCCCCCCCAACUCUCUGCCGCCACUGUAAAUAGUAUCAUUCGUCUAUAUUACUAUUAUAAGUACGCCUCAGCCUAACAUUGUGUCCUUUUUUUUUCUAUUAAAGAAAAAAAGUAACAUAGAUCAACUUGUAAUAAAGUAUAACUUUUUUAACAUUGUGUUGCUUGUAACAGAAAAGACUUAACGCGCAUCAAUUUGCCUGAAGUUAAAAAAAAAAAAAAAAAAAAAGUCACAUCCAAACUGUAAAAAUACACUCAAGGUACAUUUUUGACCAUUUGAUACUGAAAAAUAAAAUGUAAUAAAAUCAGUAAAUAAUAACAAAUUCAAAUUGAUUAGAAACAUUUACUCUUCAGGACAACAUGCCAAAAAAUUUGACCGAAAAAAAACCAAAACUGAAUAGAAGGGGGGGGGGGGGGGUCUUUGGACAGAAGGAAAGUUUUUAUUUUCGCUGAUUCACCACAGUACUCACUGGUUUACUGAUAUAACACUGACAAAGCGGGACGAUUGGCAAUAUUCGGCACAUUUUCGCUGAAAGACAAUCAAGCGGCUUAUCAAUGAGAUUGAGGUCUAAUGUCUUUAAGUGGCGUCUUAACUGAUUUGGCUUCUCCGCUAUAAUCAUUUUUAGACUCAGUAAACAGUGGUCUUUCCUCAUUUCCCACUAUAUUAAAAGUCAAAGGCAAACGGCCCGAAAAAAGCGCAUUCUCGGCGGCCGAGGGAGAACCGUAGGUGAGGGCGGUGGUCGUGACGAUCCCAAGCCGAAAACGGCACUUCUUAGCCGGACACGUGAGAACCGAAGAAGACAGUGGGUCGCUGCGUGAGUCCAGCUCUGCAUGAGUCUCUUCCGUGUGCUCUUGCUUACUUCAAAAAUACUGCACGCACUUUGAAAAUGAGAGCGCCACUGCCACCCACGGAGUGGAUGUGCAAGUACACUUUAUUCUAGUACGGCAAAAAAAAAAAAAAAAAAAAAAAAAAGCAUGUUCCCCGAGGUCACUCGCGCCCCCCCUGACAUCGCUCUGCGCCCCCCUGGGGGGGCGCGCCCCACCAUUUGAGAAGUACUGGUUUAGACGCAUUACCUCUACUGCCCCCUGGAGUGGAGGAUUGUUAUUACUAUUUUUUUAACUCAAAACGUAUUCGCCGUCUGAUUGCGUAUACCGAACCACUCUUAAUAAAUAUGUAUAUGCAUAUCCCUUCCAGAGACAGUGGUCACUACAGUGGUACAGCUAGGUUAAUAUUUCUGAUCAUGCCUACACAGUUAUAAAAACACUAAAGAAUCCUAAUUUAACAUAGUUUUUGUAUGAAAUAUAUUUUCUUCUUAAAUGCAUGUAUAUAUGCAUAUGCUAUUCGUAUAUAUGGCUGAAUGGCAGACAUUGUAAUAUCGGCAAUAAUUAUAUCGUAGCCCAAAGAAUCAAUAUGGUAUCAUAUCGGCAUGAAAUUGAUGAUAUACACCCUGACAUAAUACUCUAACAAAACUGUGAAAAGAGCCACCGUUUGUCUUAACUGCUGCUCCCCAAGUGAGCACUCCCUGGCUGAGUAAUGCUCACCCUCUUUCUCACUCUCUCUUUGUGUGCAGCACUAAAUCAUUUUCUCCCAUGCAAGACGAACAUGGAGAAGGGGAUAGUUAAAGAGGCGAGGUGGUGAAUAGUGCCUAUUUUCAUGACAACACACCCUCUGGUCACCAGCUAUGAAGACUGCCUCGCCGUCCAAGAUUUUACAAUUUUGGGCACUUCAUUAAACACAGCCCUUAGAUUUAUGCAGUUACAGCUUCAUGGUCUCCUCACUUUGGCUACCCACACACACAAGAACCUUUUUUUUUGUUUUCAUAUUAAUUGUUCCUGUCGUCUGGACAGCAGAGCUGCCUGGUCAUGGCUCCAAGUUUUCACUUCGAACUUCCGAGGCCAAAGACAGUCUUUUCAAAAACAGGAAACAGCGCUGGAGGUCCAGCGACCGCUUGAUCGGUCUUAAAUUUUGUUUAUUUUUUUGGACAUCCUUACAUCUGAUUUGAACUAUGUCUUUUUUUCCGCUUACCUCUUUCUUUUAUUCUUCUUGAUGGGUGCACCAUGUAUAAACAAACUGCAACCAAUGUGGUCACAUUUAGUUUCAUAUAAGCUUAGGGCCAACCAAGUCUCUCUAAACCUGAACAAAAAGAAGUGCAUUGGCUUUCUUUUUGCAUGCGUAGGCAGAGCGCUCAACGGCACACUUUGUCACAUGGUGUCAUAUUUCAGAAGACAACUACAGGACGUGACAACCGAGUGAGUCACUCAGUCAAGUCCGAUUGAUUCAGUGCCGGACAACGGGACAGAGCGAGUCAUUGUUACUUUCACGCUUGUGCCAAAAGGACAAGCGGAAGAUGGGCAGCGGUUUAUUAAAGCCAGUGGCAGGAAAAAUGACUGCCCAUAAUCAGCAAUUAAGAACAUACGAGAUGGAGAUGUUGACUGUGAUGUUGCAUCUGCAUCCAGAUAUUAUUUCUUGCAACAAGGAAAAAUGUCGAUUAAUACAGUAAAAGGCAACCAAGGUUCGGACUGUUUGUACAAUUUCUAGUUUGAAAAGAUAUAUUUAACAACUUUAAGUACCGUACUUUAAAAAUCCAUUUUAAAUGUUGUUCACUUUUUCAUUAAUCUCAGGAAGUGAAGGAAUCAGCAGUUGUAAAUAUUGAGGUCUAGACUGCAAGAAACCCAGAAAUUGUGUGCAAAAAUCAUAUGCAUAACCUCCCUGACGAAAAUCCUGCUUGCUAUUGGAAAAAGGAAGUAUUUCAUCCCUCAUACUACAUGAUUUAAAGUAUAUGAGAGAAAUGCUACAUUGUUGGGCAAAGCACUGAAAGUAAUUAUUAUGCCGAUAUCUUUAAUACCAGUAUUUAUCCCUUUACAACAUUUUAUAUAUGUCAUUAUUUUUAUUUGAGCUUCCCAACCUUGACACACUUAAGGCAAAUCGUUUCAUGCAAAGUCCGUGAACCAUACUGAGUGCAAGUGAAAAAGGGCUGUAGAGUUUUGUGUCUAUGAAGCGUUAAAACAGUGGCCAUUUUAGCAUUCAUUUUUAUCAGUGACUGAAAGAAUGAAAAUAGUCAGAGGCAGGGGCCCCCCAAAGCUUUCCGUCAAGCCUCCUGAGAGGAGACAAAGGUUUGCAUUGACUGCUGCGUGUCGAUAAGACCUAUCAUUAGUCUGCCGGUGGAGGGAUUACCAACACACACUAAAAUGCUUCUGCACACGUAUACACACUCCACUUGCAUCCUUACAUUAGUCACUCUACCCCCCUUCCAAUCUUAUUUUACAUUCUCAAGCUUGAAUAUUUUUCUAUACUAAAGUAGAGACUUUAUUUGAAUCGAAGGGGCAUAAAUGAACCCCUUCUUUUCAAUCACAACACUAACUAUACACCCCGCUUUACAAUGGUGUCCACACACGGAAACAUGUUUGUGUGUGACAUGCAUGGCUGGUACAAUAGUCCUAAGGAGAUUUUCUCAUGACCUUUUUUUUGUUUUUCAUAAUAAAUAAAAAUAAGUAAAAAUAAUAAGAAUACACUCAAAGAAAAAGUAAGAAAAAUUGUUUUUUAUUGUCCACUAUGGCAAAGCUAAUUGUCACCAUCCGUUGACGACAAAAAUCAGUUUAUUCACAAUAUGUAUCACUCUUAAAUGCAGCAAACAUACGUAUUUCAGGUAAAAUUCCGUAGUUCCUAAGUAGGCAUGUGCAGUUUGAUAUUCUGACGGUAUGAUAAACUUAAGCCAAAAUAUCACGGUUUCAUGGUAUUUCAGUUACAGCUCUAAAAUGUGUUUCUUUGAGUUAUCUGGGUUAAAAAAAAAACUUUCUUCUAUUAAACAGGAUUUUUAUUAUUCAAAACAUAUUAUCAAAUUGGACCAUAAGAAUAAGGUUGAGUUAAAAUAAAUUUAAAAAAUAUAUAUAUAUAUAUAACAAAUAUUCUAAUUAAAAUACCGUAUUGGGCUGAACGUAAGACCGCCCUGAUUAUAAGACGACCCCGUCUUUUUCAAGACUCAAGUUUGAAAAAAGACUUUUUGAACACCAAAUUAAUUUUUAUACAGAAAAUAAUUACAGUACAUCCGGAACAAAUGAUUAUAACAAUAUAUUUGAGAGAAAAAGCAUGUUAUUUUGCCUCAUUCAAAUUUUAAUACCUGAAGAUUUAAAUAUGUAAACUAAAGUGCAAUCACAUUCGUAAAUGAAUGGCUUCUCGUUUUUGAAUUGUAAAUAAACCAAUCUAUUGUGAUAAAACAACAAAAUUGCAAUAACUGCAUUAACCAUCAAAGUAAAGUCUAACUGUAACUGUAGUCUUCAAACAAAUCUGAAUAAGGAAAAACAUUGCAAUAAAAUAAUGCAAACUGGUUAAACUAGUAGCUGAGAUCUGCCAUGACAGAACAUUGCUUCAAUGAUAUCUGGCGCCAUCUAGCGUCGUGAAUGGGGAGAGCAGCUGAGAUCUGUCAUACUAGAACAUCGCUUCAAUGAUAUCUGGCGUCAUCUAGCGUCGUGAAUGGGUAUAAUGUCUAGACUGCGAAUAUAAGACAACCCCCUUUUUUUUCAAUCUUAUUUCAAUGCAAAAAACACCACCUUAUAUUCGGGCCAAUACGGUAAAUGCAGUCCUUUGGGCAAGUGUAAACCCACAACCACAGCUGAACAUUAUUACCAUCUGAACAAAAAUAAUUUAUUUUUUUUCCAUAAAAAGCACAUGUGUAUGACUCUUAUCAUGUUUACAUUAUACACACACUCUCUCAACACAGACAGUUGCCAGAAAUAAAAAAAAACACCACGUUUUACCACCGCUAGACACACUAAACAUGCUGGGGUUAACUCUUGUAGCCGGUUGGAAAUGUUCAUGGAAGUGUUUACUAGGGCUGCAGCUAUCGAAUAUUUUAGUAAUUGAGUAAUCGACUGAAAAUUCUAUCGAUUAUUCGAGUAAUCGGAUAAAACAAAUAUAUUUUUAGGUGAAGAGCAAUUAUACAUAUACUGUACAUGAGAAAACAAGACAUUUCAUCUAAUCUUGAACCAUUUUCAGUCAAUCAAUGUCUUUAUUUUCGAUGUAUAUUGUUGAAAACAGCCAACAAUUGCAUCUCAGAUGUAACUAGAAUAAAAUUUUAAAAAAAAAAAGACUAAUUCACUGCUUUCACUCAAAAAACUUUUAGAUCUUAUUAAAAAAAAAAAAAAAAAUAUAUAUAUAUAUAUAUAUAUAUAUAUAUACAAGUGGUACCUCUACAUACGAAUUUAAUUCGUUCCAGGACCUUGUUUGUAAGUCGAAAUGGUCGUAUGUCGAGCAGGAUUUUCCCAUAGGAAUACAUUAUAAUUCCAUUAAUUCGUUCCAAAGCCUAAAAACAUACACUAAAUUCUUAAUAAAUACUGCUGGCACUGCUACAAAUGGCAAUUAAACAUAGAAAAACAAAUAAGUUAUAAAUAAAUAAGUCAGAAUAAUAUAAUAAUAAGAAGAAUAAUUAAUAAUUAUUCCUGUAAAUAAUGUAACGAAUUGGAUUCUAAUAUGGCGGACACUUUUUACUGUCCCUGAACGCACCGCGAAGCUGACGUCACGGUGAGAUAGGUCGGUGCGGUAGAGAUAAUACUUUCGUUUUCUUGAGAGCAGUCAACUGCUUAAGACAAUGGGCGUUUUGUGUUGGAUAAGUUCUUAAAUAAAUGAUAAAAACGUGACGAAGCUGGCGAUUUCCUUGGCAAUGUUACCACAAUAAUAAUUGUCACCUUAACUUAUAAAUAGUGGCGAACGGUGGUCGGAAGAGGACCAUGGAGCUGUAUUGUUGAGCCAGUUCAGGGACGCGCACACCAAGCUCAUAUUUUUCUAUAACUUGCAUCUUCAUUUCAAAGGUAAGCAUCACUUUUUUCCUUGUUUCUCCAACUGUAUCAACUUUUUUUGAAAACUGUGUUGAUUUCUCACACAAGAAAAUCCACCGUGCAUUCGUUUGCAGUGCUGUCAUGUCGUCGUAUUUCGAGCAACUCGUCGGAUGUAGAAACAAAUGGCGGCUCAAAUUUUACGUCGGAUGUCGAAAAGAUCGUGUGUCGAAGUGAUCGUAUGUAGAGGUACCACUGUAUAUACUAUAUCUUACCUAAAAAGGCCGUUACGCUUGAUAACAAACAUCACUUAAAAGUUAGGAUUUUUUUCCCCACGUGUUUCAACUGAAUUUCUCUUUGUGUCAAGCCAUUUUUAAGUUCUAGUUAAGUUUUAAGUUAGUCUAAACUGUAAGUCCUGAUAGGAUUUUGAGUUUUUGCAGUGUUCAAAAUAAAUGUAUGAUACAGGCUGUAUUGGAGCACAUUAGGGACCAGUGCUACUUGGUGUUUUAUCCAGCAAUGACUACUGAGCUAAAAUUGAUAGUUGGCAUUAUUGAGUUUUUAUUUUACACCCUGAUCACUCCACAAUGCUAUGUUAUGUUAAAGCCUGUAUGUAAGACACAUUAGCCACGCAUCGACAGUGGUCAUAAUUAAUUGAAACCUAGCCCUCCGCAGGGCUAACGUUACGUGAGCUAGUAGCGACAGUAACGUUAAUCUUAUUUAUUAGCACUUAGCACUCUUUAUUAGCGCUUAGCGAUGUACUGCUUUAAGAUGGCGGCUGUUUACAAACGCUGCCCAGACGCAGCCGAGUUUGUCAAUUUGCAUCUAGUUCAACAUACAUGUGAUCUCUAUGAGACGCACCAGACGCUACCUGUUACCAAUGUAGCAUUGUGCGGGCUAGUAUUUAGCAACGUCGGCGUCGUUUGUGGCGGCUGUCGGCUGCGGUAAGUUUUUUUUUUUCCCUUCUUCCUCUCCGCACGUGACAGCGCGUUGUCCCGCAUUAAAAGUAGUCCUAGCAAAACGUGAUGCUUACAGCUGUCAAAAUAAACGAUUACUCGAGGUGAAUAAAAUUACUCGGAUCAGUUUUUAAACUUGAGUUACUCGAGUUGCUCGAGUACUCGUUUCAGCUCUAGUGUUUACCAACCUUUAAUUUUGUAUAAAUGCAAAAUCACAUUGGAGGUAUUGCCUCUUUGGCAGCCGCCCUCCGCAAACAUGUUUUACAUGUCGGGUGGCCCUCCUCCUCUAAGCCACAACCGUCUGUAACUUUUCUGAUACUGAAGUAUUCCUAUACCAGCGAUUUCGUUUUCUUCGAUGGGGGAAAAAGUUCAGGAGUUUCAUCUCCUCCAGCCAUGGUGAAGCAUUACUGACCACUGACACUGAGCAACAACCAGUGGGGGAGGGUUGAGCCUUGCAGCUGCAAGCGAGGGAUUUGUCUAAGCUUGAGAACGAUAAACCGAUACGACCGGUUAUCCGGUUUUACAGGUGAGAGAUACAGAUGUAUCGAUAGUAAAGUUAUCAUUUGACAGUAAUUAGCCAUUAAAUAUUCAAUGAACCGAUAGCAGAGAUAGAAUUCGGCUAUCGCGAGCACAAGAAUCGGCUUCUAAUGCCUAGCUCAAUGCAUUGCUUAAUAUUUUACUUCACAUGCUGCGCUUGUGUCAUUCACCACACAGCGCACUUGGAUCGAGACCGCACGCAUGAUAUAAUAUGGACAAGCACUACUCACAGUCGUGGUUGCCUCAACUUCCCAUGCAUUUCAGCAGAACCGCUACUAGUCGCCGUCCUUACCCGAUCGUCACGGGCAUGUCAUAACAACGCGAGAGCUAACGAAACCACUGUAACGCACGCUCCGUAGCGUUUUCUUCACAGCCCAAAACGAAACUAGUAGUGGCAACGAAGCAACAUGCUAAAACAAUGGACAGUGUGAUCACCGAUGCCAGCGACGUGCAGCGAUUGAUUUUCAACGCACCUAGGAAAACAAAAGUCUGACUUUGAAGUGAUGAAGGCAGCCAGAUCUGUUCGCAUGGGACAGACCUUGUGUGAAGUUUGGAGCGGUACAGAGAUCGUGAGUUUUUAACCCUGAAAAAUAACCCACAACAAUGGUGGAAAGGGCGGCAUAUUGUUUCCACGAAACGCAGUCUACUUAAACAUAAAAAUUUGGAUUAGUUGAUCUUCCUCAAGAAAAAUCUGCCCUUCAAAAAAGAUAUGGACAGUGAUGAGGAAUAAAAAAUGAGGAAGCACAGGCAUAAGUGAAUGACUUUGCUGUGUAUUAGGUUAAAGUAAUGAUUAUUGACCUGUCUAAAAUGCCAUGUUUUUGUUUUGUUAUACCAGUCGUAAAGCAUAAUUUAUUAUUUAUUUAUGAUAACACUAGCAGGUUUUUUUUUUUUUUUUCUAGAGCUGCUGCAUAUAAUUAAUAUUUUUUGUUUGUAAGAUGUUAACAUUGAAAGUUUGCACUUAAAUUACUUACCUCUUGUGUUAAAAACACCAGGAAAUACAGUAAUUGAAUUACUGCACUUUAUUGUUGUCUGUCACUGGAAUUUUAUUUUAUUAUCAAUCCCAUCCAACAAAAUGACAGUCAUAUAGUCAGCCUUAUUUUUUUUUUUUUCAUAAAAAAAAAUAAAUAAAACAUGACAUUGGUAUGAAAUGUUGUUGUUUAAUUUUGCUAUAUUAGAAAUGUGGUCUUUUUAUAUGUUUAAAAUACUGUACAAACACACACAACAAAUAUUUACUAUCGUAUCGUUUUCACUCUAUCGAACCGUAUCGUUCUUACACUGUAUCGAAUCGUAUCGAAUCGCUCGGCCUUAAAAAUGUAUCAUUUUUAAUCGAAUUGUAACCUGUGUAUCUAGAUAUCUAUCGAAUCAGCUUCAUGCCAGAGAUUCCCAACCCUAGAUUUCUCCCUUCAUUUUUAGGACAGAAAAAAUAGCUAAUACCUUAGGGCCGGUAUAAUGGAAAAACUUUGCAGCUUUGAAACCUUGACGUUUUCAUACCACGGUAUACCUUGAAAACGGUAAUCGGCACAUGUCUAUUCCUAAGUAGAUGAUGAACCAUUGCUCGUAUUGUCACUGUCUCUCAUUAUCACAGCCCCCAGAGAAUAUAUGAGUUUACUUACCUCCGCUUGUUCGGAGGGUGCAACCAAACGCAUGUCAUUAUCCUCCCUAUUUUCCGCAAAUAGCUUUAAAUAGCAUUAGGGCCAAAAUAUAACAGCACAAUUAAGCCAUUGAUCUGUGGUGGAUAGUACAUUGGAAACAUUAUGAAGUCAGGAAUGGACAGAGGUAAUGAACAUUUUUUGUAGGUAACCUUUUCAAUCGUGAGGCAGAUGCUGAGAGCUUGUGUUGCACUUCUGAUUCGUAGUUGCUUCUUAAUGUCCUCAUUUUUAGGUCAUGGACUGAAAUUGCUUUUCAUUUUAAAAACAACAAUCCCUGAGACAAGGCACAGGAUCAAAGGUUGGAGCUAACAUUAACACCAAGUCUUCGUGUCUUCAUUGCUUCAUUCAUACUGAUCAGUGCUUGUGAGGCAUAAUUGUAAAUAUAGGCCCAACAUCAUGUUGUCUUAAAUUUUACAUAGAGUUGAUCAAUGAUGGUGAAAUGCCACCACAGCGUGUUGAUUAGGGGUCAUAUUUGCUUUGUGUAAUUUAGUGGGUUUCAUGUUUUUUAAUAAACUCACAGCUGUGUAUUUUGUGCAGAUGCAUUAACGGACAUUUCUAGGCCAGUCAAUGCAUGUUAAUGGGCUUAGACGACAGUAUGCAUGUACAUUUAGUUAAAGUGCAAAAGUAUUCCAAUCCCAUCUGAAUUUUAACCGAUAAUGUUUAUACUUAAAUUUAGAUGCCUGCAAAAAAUAAGCAGUUUGUUGUCUUGACAGUCUCAUCAUUGGUAUGUGAUUAAAUUAUGGAUUGAUUGACUUAAACACAAACGCCAGUUGUAAAUAUUAUGGCAUUCUGUUGUACUUCGCUGUACAGAUUGUGUGAAGUUACACCUAGAUUUGUAGUGUAGCAAUUUUGACUUGUUUGUGAUUGCGACCACCCCAAUGCUUCUAAUAUACAGAGUUUGUCUGUGCAACCUCUGUAAAAAAAAAAAAAAAAAAAAAAAAAACCUCUCUCCAAAAGGCUUUGGCUCAGUGGCUCAGUCUGUUUUGAGUAGUGAGACACACCCAAAAGGAUGGAUAUGAAUAAUACUUGUGAUGUUUUAUAAGUUUGGCGACUUGGUUGUUCCGGGAGAUCUAGCGCCAAAUGCAUGUGUGAGUUACAUUAAAAACAGACCUAAUAUGGUAAAAGCACAGGUACGUUCUAAUAAGGUACCAACGUCAAUACAUUAAUAGUCCAAUCAAAUAUAAUAAUGUAAAUCAUUUCAAGAAGAUCUACAUCUCAACCAUAAUGGGUUAUAAAAUUGAUCAAAUACAUUAAGAGUUUGAUAUUUCUUUUGUAAAUAAUAACAUAAAAUAAAAAGAACUUGGACCUCACAACCAAAGAAGAUAACAACUAACAGCAAAACAAUCAAUUUCCUUCUGAAUUGUAUGUCAGUUGUUAAAUUAUAUUUCUUUAUUUCAACGCCAAAAAGUGGUUACAUUCCACAGAAAGCAUCCAUUCACCAAAACCUCAACAUAACUCUUAAUAAGCUGGUGAUAGUUGGACUCGUACCUCUCAUAAAGUUUGUUUUACUUAGCUCAUUCCCGCCCUGGGUAACUCGUAAGCCCUGUGAUUAAAAAGUGUAUUGAAGAUUUCAAGCAGGGUUAUUACCUGCCUGACCUCGCUGUCAUAGAAGAGAAAAAUGGCUUUGGGAUAAACAAAAAUUAUCAUUCAGCAUCCUGUGAAUUUGUUGUGCAACUUGAGAGCUGACAAAGCAGCUCAAAUGCAAAGCAGGUGACCACUAAAGGAUGAUCAAAACAGAAACAAAUUUUGAUUCAAACACGAUUACUCGUACUAUGUUAAAAUAGAUUCCAACCAGUGGAGCCCAAAUCAUGAGGUUAAUACUGUUCAUCAGCAUUUUUGUGAUUAACACAAUGUGUGCUAUGAAACAUUCAAACAUUUGUUCAUUUGUAACACAGCUCAAUUGGCUGGCAACACAUUUGAUUUUCACGAAAUUGAAACAUGCUGCUAAUCCCAUAAUAUGUGCCUUGUGUUUAUACCAGACAAUUGAGGAAUGUUAAAGAAAGAACAUUUUCUUGCAACACGGAAAUUGUAGACUGCAUGUACCGUAAUUUUCACACUAUAAGGCGCACCUGACUGUAAGCCGCCACCCACCAAAUUUGUCACGAAAACGGCAUUUGUUCAUAGAUAAGCUGCACCGGUCUAUAAGCCGCAGCUCUCCACACUGUAUUAUGGGAUAUCUAUACCAAAAGACAUUAACCAGAAAGACAUUAUUUGACAGUGGCGUCAUACGACUGUCAAAUGAACCACUAUGAAGUUUUGAACCAAUUGGCUGCAAAGCUUCAUUGCUUCAAAAAGCUUCAUUUGGCCAUCACUGCGCCCUUUCGGGGAGACAAUCAACCCCUGUGCCACCUGUUGUCAACACUGAUAUCGUCCGACAUGCCUCCUAGUAUGCAUUGCAGCGCUACAGAUGUAGUUAACAAUCAAAAUUCAUAAUUCUGUGCAAAUUUCUUCAGUUACUGUUCCGGUUGUUUCAUUAAUUGCUAAUUAUGAUAUUUGGUAUCACUUUAUUUGACAGUGGUGUCACAAGACUGUCAUUGUACAAUCAUAAUUACGAUGUGACACUGUCAUGAGCAUUAAUGAAUGCUUACAACAAAUGUCAUUUAGUGUUAUCCGGCAAAUUAUCUAUUUUUUAAAUGGAUGUAAAAGAUCCGAGCUGGACAUAAGUGGAGUGAGUGAGGUAAUUUGCCAGAUGACACUUAAUGACAUCAGUUAUAGGUGUUCAGUAAUGCCUAAGAUAGUGUCAUGUCAUAAUUAUGACGAUCUUAUGACAGUCUUAUGUCGCUGCUGUCAAUAAAGCGUUACCUAUUGACCCAAUUAAAUCAAUAAAUAAGCCGCACUGGACUAUAAGAUGCAGGAUUCAAAGUGAAGGAAAAAAGUAGCAGCUUAUAGUCUGAAAAUUACGGCAUAUUGCAGGUGGCACUGUGGAUGAGGCGUGAGCAUGUCAGUAUCAAAGCUCUGAGCUCAAGGGAUCAAUCCCGGUCUACGGCCUUCCUGUGUGGAGUUUGCAUGCUCUCCCCUUGUCUGCGUCGGUUUUCUUCAUGUAGUCCGACUCCUUCCAAUAUCCCAAACCAUGCAUGGAAGGCAAAGAUUGUGAAUGUGAAGUACUGUUUGUCAAUAUGUGUCCAUCCUUGGCUGGCAACCAGUGCAUGGUGUACCCUGCCUACUGCCCAUACCCAACUGGGCCCCAGCAACCCCGUGACCUUCGUGAGGCUGAGCGGUACAGAAGAUGAAUGAAUGAAAGUAUAUUGCAAUUGCAAUUGUAGGGGAACUUCAAAACAAACUGGAAAUAGAGGUGUCAGGAACAUCCCACCAGCUAGACUAUUUUUAUUGUGAUGCCCAAGGGCUGUUCAACAAAACAAACAAGAUCUAAUCAUGUCAGAUUAAAUGAAACUGCUCUGUCUUGGUUGGCAUUGACUUAGUUAGUAAAAUAAUCGAAAGGACCAAUACAAAUGCACACAUUUGAAUGUGAUCCAAUACACACUCACAAAAACGUGGAAAGUUGUGAAUUCAAUGUAUGAGGUCAGGUACCUGCAUACACAAAGAAUGGUUCUACAAAACAGCAGCAAAAUUAUCUUGAUGGAACAACACUUGAUUUUAAGUAUUCAUGACACUACUUUCGUCGUCUUUAAUACUGGACGACCAAGACAAAAGACAAUGGCUAUGUUUAACGUGUACAGUAUAUUUUAUAACUUUCUUCAGCACCUGCUUGCAUUCGUUGAACAUGACCCAAUGAAGUAAUGGCACAUUGGCUACUAGGUGCUAGUAGAAUUUAUAGUAGAUGAACCGCUAAUAUUCAGCUUUCCAGCUUCCAACUUUAAAAAUCUAAAAAUGAUUUCAUUUGUAGGAAUCACAAAAUAUUUCUCCUGUGGCAAGCUUCCUGUGCAAACCCUUCUCAUUUUAACAUCAAAGCUAAAUUUAAACAAUUGAAGCAAUUUUUCAUCCAACCAAGGUCAUCUAUUGUUCUCUCUCUGUGAGGAAAUUUCAAGAAAUAUAUUUUACUGACAAGCUUCUUUGUAGCAAGCCACCUUUCAACCAUUGAGACAGAUUUCUGUUUUCUGUAGUAACUUCAUUUAUAGAUUGUUGACUUAAUUUCUUUGAAUUACCAAGUUAAUUUAUUGCAGUGUUUGUGUCCCACACAGGUUUCAAAAGUCCAUUGUGUAGACUUGCUUUAAAUAACAAAAGGUUUAGCCCCUGUAAAGAAAAGAGCAUUACUUUAAGAUUAGAAAGAGAGUCUUGCAAUUAGCCCUAGCAUCUGCAUGCAAAUUUGUAUUUUAAGAUCAGUGCCUGAUGUGUAAGCACACUUGAGGAUAUUUUUAUAAAGAAGCCAGUGCAGACAACACAUGAAAUCAUGAAUUUUGUUAAAUGUUUGCCAAGAACUAGAUGCUUCUUACAGCAAAGGAUAUGGUGGGAAAAAUGUCUCUGAAGAAACUCUCGCAAUUACUGUGUUCAAAGUAGCUUAAAAUACAUUUUUAAAUAUUAUAUUCAACUGGAAUCUGAUUGCGCUGAGCAGCCACAAAUGAGCCCAGAACUAACUUAGAAUUGGAGACAAGUUGGAUCUUUUCAGUGGACACCCCCUUAAUUAUGGUUAGGUUGUUUCAAGCUUGCCGUCUAUUCUCUCUUUUCUGUUUUGUUUGAAAACAUCUCAACACUUUUUGCAGUCGGUGACAGGCUGUAUAUAAGAUGCAGAACAAAGCAGCCAACAGCAUAAUUUUAGAUAUUUUGGCCAAGAGUGCUGAACUCACAGAAACUUAAAUAAUGCACGAUUUAAAAAAAACAACAACAAAAAAACAGAUGAAAUGUACAAAUGUACACCCAAGUGAGCUCUUCAUUUUUUUUCUCAAGACCACCCACAAUGUUUAUAGGUUGUGAGUGGGCUCGUUGUUCGUAUAAAAAAACAGUGCUUGACUCACAAAGAAAAGAUGAAGGGCAAAACCGAAGAGCUAUUCCAUCUAAUUAUGUUACUAAACAUCCAAUAAUUCUUGAUACUCAUUAACAUUAGAAAAUUGUUAUGAAAUGGUAUGAAAAGAAAGACUCAAGUUUGUUAUGUAUGUCCUGUAUCACUGCUUGUAAGUGCGGAGUCAGUGACAUUUUAAUUGUGUUAAAUAUCAACACUCAAAAUGUUCUUUUUUUUUUUCAUUUUCUUCU